GUCCACGCCGUAAACGAUGGAUGCUAGCCGUCGGCCAGCUUGCUGGUCGGUGGCGCAGCUAACGCUUUAAGCAUCCCGCCUGGGGAGUACGGCCGCAAGGUUAAAACUCAAAGGAAUUGACGGGGGCCCGCACAAGCGGUGGAGCAUGUGGUUUAAUUCGACGCAACGCGAAGAACCUUACCAGCCCUUGACAUGCACCGGAAUGCCCGCAGAGAUGUGGGCAGCCGCAAGGCCGGUGCACAGGUGUUGCAUGGCUGUCGU
rnacentral:rRNA from 1 species